AAUACUGACUAACUGGGGAAAAGUUCAGUUUAGGGUUAGGGCCCUAAUACCGACUGAAUGGAAAAGUUCAGUUUAGGGUUUAAAACCCUAAUACUGACUGACUGGAAAGAGUUCAGUUUAGGGUUUAAAACCCUAAUGCUGACUGAAUGGAAAAAGUUCAGUUUAGGGUUUAAAACCCUAAUGCUGACUGAAUGGAAAAGUUCAGUUUAGGGUUUAAAACCCUAAUGCUGACUGAAUGAAAGAGUUUAGUUUAGGACUUAAAACCCUAAUGCUGACUAAAGGAAAGAGUUCAGUUUAGGGUUUAAAACCCUAAUGCUGACUAAAUGGAAAAGUUCAGUUUAGAGUUUAAAACCCUAAUGCUGACUAAAGGAAAAAGUUCAGUUUAGGGUUUAAAACCCUAAUGCUGACUAAAUGGUAAAGUUCAGUUUAGGGUUUAAAACCCUAAUGCUGACUGAAUGGAAAGGGUUCAGUUUAGGGUUUAAAACCCUAAUGCUGACUAAAGAAAAGAUUUCAGUUUAGGGUUUAAAACCCUAAUGCUGACUAAAUGGAAAAAGUUCAGUUUAGGGUUUAAAACCCUAAUGCUGACUGAAGGAAAAAGUUCAGUUUAGGGUUUAAAACCCUAAUGCUGACUGAAUGGAAAAAGUUCAAUUUAGGGUUUAAAACCCUAAUGCUGACUGAAUGAAAGAGUUCAGUUUAGGGUUUAAAACCCUAAUGCUGACUAAAUGGAAAAAGUUCAGUGUAGGGUUUAAAACCCUAAUGCUGACUAAAGGAAAAGUUCAGUUUAGGGUUUAAAACCCUAAUGCUGACUGAAUGGAAAAGUUCAGUUUAGGGUUUAAAACCCUAAUGCUGACUAAAGGAAAGAGUUCAGUUUAGGGUUUAAAACCCUAAUGCUGACUGGCUGGAAAAAGUUCAGUUUAGGGUUUAAAACCCUAAUGCUGACUAAGUGGAAAAAUUCAGUUUAGGGUUUGAAACCCUAAUGCUGACUAAGUGGAAAAAGUUCAGUUUAGGGUUUAAAACCCUAAUGCUGACUAAAUGGGAAAAGUUCAGUUUAGGGUUUAAAACCCUAAUGCUGACUAAAGGAAAAGUUCAAUUUAGGGUUUAAAACCCUAAUGCUGACUGAAUGGGAAAAGUUCAGUUUAGGGUUUAAAACCCUAAUUCUGACUAAAGGAAAAAGUUCAGUUUAGGGUUUAAAACCCUAAUGCUGACUAAACGAAAGAGUUCAGUUUAGGGUUUAAAACCCUAAUGCUGACUGGCUGGGGACAAAGUUCGAGGAUAUUAACUGACCUCUUUUU
rnacentral:lncRNA from 1 species